rnacentral:rRNA from 1 species
GAUGAACGCUGGCGGCGUGCCUAAUACAUGCAAGUCGAGCGAACGGACGAGAAGCUUGCUUCUCUGAUGUUAGCGGCGGACGGGUGAGUAACACGUGGAUAACCUACCUAUAAGACUGGGAUAACUUCGGGAAACCGGAGCUAAUACCGGAUAAUAUUUUGAACCGCAUGGUUCAAAAGUGAAAGACGGUCUUGCUGUCACUUAUAGAUGGAUCCGCGCUGCAUUAGCUAGUUGGUAAGGUAACGGCUUACCAAGGCAACGAUGCAUAGCCGACCUGAGAGGGUGAUCGGCCACACUGGGACUGAGACACGGUCCAGACUCCUACGGGAGGCAGCAGUAGGGAAUCUUCCGCAAUGGGCGAAAGCCUGACGGAGCAACGCCGCGUGAGUGAUGAAGGUCUUCGGAUCGUAAAACUCUGUUAUUAGGGAAGAACAUAUGUGCAAGUAACUGUGCACAUCUUGACGGUACCUAAUCAGAAAGCCACGGCUAACUACGUG